AUGUGGUGUCCUGGCCCAAUGCCUGUCCCCAGCGGGGUCGUGAGGGGCUUCAGGAAUGGGGUUACAGUCCUUAUGAAAAAGACCCCCCCCCAGAGCUCUGUCUUCCUCCCGCCUUCUGAGGACAAAGCAAGGGGGCACUCAGGGGGCAGUGCUGCCGCCCCAGCCCGGAGCCGCUGUGAUGGUGGCCAGGUCUGCGGGACAGCCCUUGUUGGGGCAGCCUUGGCCAGCCCGUGCCAAGGCGGGCACAAGCCGGGGAGCGGUCAGGGAGGCCGGGCGGCUGGAGGUGAUUCUAGGAGGAGUCCCGCCCGCGUCCUGCUCAGGAGGCUCCCGCACGUGCACCGCAACCGGGCGUACCACGCGCACGCCGUGGCUUUCCAGGAAUCAGCGUGGCGUGAGCAGCCACUGCACUUUCUAAGCUGGCCGGCGCCACUGAACGCCGCGCCACGGCACUCUGCGUCCACAACCUCCGAGGGGCACAGCGCAGCUCCUCAGGAACGGAACCGCACGCGUGGACAGGCGCCCCGCGGGAAAUCCUACCCGGGGUCCACGGAAGGGCCCGGGGCGUGGCCCGCUCAGGAGCCCGCGGGCACGCGGCGGGACGGCCCCCGGUGCGGGGUCCAUGGGUGCCACCCUCACCACAGCUCCCACUCCGCAACCGAAGCUCGCGGAGUCCGCGUCUGCGGAAACUGUCACGCCACGCCGCCACGCGUGCCGCCCAUCCCCCUCGGCAUGCAGGAAGUGGGGUGCACACCUGGCCCACCGCCUACCUGCCGCUGUCACCCCAAGACCGCGUCUUUGUUCCUCGGACGCCGCCCGCGGCCACCGCACUCCGCUCCGGCCACUCACGCGGUUACUCCCCCAGCAGACGGCCACCCGCACCGGCCACGGCCACGCGAGCCUGCGCGUGUACCUGCUGGAGUGGGUGCACACCGGCCGGCAGGCGCCUCUCCCGCGCCAGCGGACGCGUCACGGCCACACACGCGCCGUCCUCUGCGCGGCCCUGGCAACAGCGGCGCCCGCACACGCACGCGCACGUGCGUCACCGCCCCCCGGGCAGAUCCCCGCGCGUCACUCGCGCCCUCCCACGCAGGUGCGUCACACGUGUGUACAUACAUGUGA
rnacentral:lncRNA from 1 species